rnacentral:rRNA from 1 species
AACGAACGCUGGCGGCAGGCUUAACACAUGCAAGUCGAACGGGUGUAGCAAUACAUCAGUGGCAGACGGGUGAGUAACACGUGGGAACCUUCCUAGGGGUACGGAACAACUCAGGGAAACUUGAGCUAAUACCGUAUACGUCCGUGAGGAGAAAGAUUUAUCGCCCUUAGACGGGCCCGCGUCGGAUUAGGUAGUUGGUGGGGUAACGGCCUACCAAGCCUACGAUCCGUAGCUGAUCUGAGAGGAUGAUCAGCCACACUGGGACUGAGACACGGCCCAGACUCUUACGGGAGGCAGCAGUGGGGAAUCUUGGACAAUGGGCGAAAGCCUGAUCCAGCCAUGCCGCGUGAGUGAAGAAGGCCUUAGGGUUGUAAAGCUCUUUUGCCAGGGACGAUAAUGACGGUACCUGGAGGAUAAGCCCCGGCAAACUUCGUGCCAGCCGCCGCCGUAACAC